GAGCCGAAAUGCGGAAGUGCGAUUCUUAGUAAACGGAGUGUGCGUCUCUCUCAAGCACUGGACAAUGGCGUUACGAGACCGACAGACUGACGGACUCUUCAGGAGGUCGGUCAACGGUCCCAGAAACCGCUAGACAUCAUCCCCAGCCGACCACUAUGCAUCAUCAUCCCACAAUGGCGAUUGGUCAAUUCCCAUUGGUAAACUUCCAUCUGUGUGGACAUGUGCUGAUCUCCAUACGCAACCCCCCUUGCGCACGCUGCAGCGUGUACGGCUCCCCUCCCAAGGUUGUGCGCACGAUCUCACCCAGGACGUCCUGGUCCUGACACGCCCAAGCGACAACGAGCGAGCACCUGUAAGGAAAGCCAAACCCUAAUUCCAGGAUGUUACGUCACAUCUGUUGAAACGGCGAUGAUAGCGAUCAAACGUGACUCUAUGUAUGGAAAGAGGUAAAGGCAUGUGCGCAGACCCACGCACUUGGGCAUACAUGUGUGUGCAUCCUGUAGGAAAGAUGACGUAACCACUUCUGUCUUCAUCUCCGGUAAAAACACAACCACACAGCCAACGCAAUGACAUGCCUUCAGGCUAAAUAGGUUUUAACCUAAAAUAAGCUAGUUUAAGCGAUAUUUUCCUAUGCUUGGGAAAGCUAUCAAUGUAGAAGG
ensembl:lncRNA